AACGAACGCUGGCGGCAUGCCUAACACAUGCAAGUCGAACGAACCCUUCGGGGUUAGUGGCGCACGGGUGCGUAACGCGUGGGGAUCUGCCCUUUGCUUCGGAAUAACAGUUAGAAAUGACUGCUAAUACCGGAUGAUGUCGUAAGACCAAAGAUUUAUCGGCAAAGGAUGAACCCGCGUAGGAUUAGCUAGUUGGUGAGGUAAAGGCUCACCAAGGCGACGAUCCUUAGCUGGUCUGAGAGGAUGAUCGGCCACACUGGGACUGAGACACGGCCCAGACUCCUACGGGAGGCAGCAGUGGGGAAUAUUGGACAAUGGGCGAAAGCCUGAUCCAGCAAUGCCGCGUGAGUGAUGAAGGCCUUAGGGUUGUAAAGCUCUUUUACCCGGGAUGAUAAUGACAGUACCGGGAGAAUAAGCUCCGGCUAACUCCGUGCCAGCCGCCGCAGUAACAC
rnacentral:rRNA from 1 species